GAGAGCUUUUUCUUGUAAAAUGAUAGAGGAUGAGCUCAACAAUUUUAUGAUUGGAGCGAUGGCGUUGGCUUCUGCAAGUACCUUAGAACCAUUCUGCAGCUGCUCACCUUCAAUUAUUGUCAAGAUUGCAUCUAUAGAAGCUUCAGCAGCUGCAGGAUCUGGCUCAUCUACCACCUCCGCGAGGGGUCUGAGAGCAUUAGCCUCUAAAAGGCAGAAUGAGG
rnacentral:misc_RNA from 1 species